rnacentral:rRNA from 1 species
CCUACGGGUGGCAGCAGUGGGGAAUAUUGGGCAAUGGGGGAAACCCUGACCCAGCAACGCCGCGUGACGGAAGAAGGCUUUCGGGUUGUAAACUUCUUUUACCAGGAACGAAGAAAGUGACGGUACCCUGCAAGAAAGCUCCGGCUAACUACGUGCCAGCAGCCGCGGUAAUACGUAGGGAGCAAGCGUUGUCCGGAAUUACUGGGUGUAAAGGGAGCGUAGGCGGGAGGAUAAGUUGAAUGUGAAAUCUAUGGGCUCAACCCAUAGCUGCGUUCAAAACUGUUCUUCUUGAGUGAAGUAGAGGCAGGCGGAAUUCCUAGUGUAGCGGUGAAAUGCGUAGAUAUUAGGAGGAACACCAGUGGCGAAGGCGGCCUGCUGGGCUUUUACUGACGCUGAGGCUCGAAAGCGUGGGUAGCAAACAGGAUUAGAUACCCCAGUAGUC